rnacentral:rRNA from 1 species
CGGUAAUUCCAGCUCCAAUAGCGUAUACUAAUGUUGUUGCAGUUAAAAAGCUCGUAGUCGGAUUUCAGUAGGCUCAGUUUGGUCUUAAUUCUAAGAUCUAUAUGGGCCUGCUUCUUUGACAGAAACUUCUAUGUUAUUCAUUUAGCGUGGGCAGCGACUGUCUCUUUUACUUUGAGAAAAUUAGAGUGUUCAAAGCAGGUAGAUGCCUGAAUAUUACUCUUGGAAUAAUGCUAUAAGACUUUGGUUCUAAUGUAUUGGUGAUUGGGACCAGAGUAAUGAUUGAUAGGGACGGUUGGGGUCUUACGUACUGCAAAGCGAGAGGUGAAAUUCUUGGACCUUUGUAUGACGAACAACUGCGAAAGCAUUGGACUAGGACGUUCCCGUUGAUCGAGAACGAAAGUUGGGGGAUCGAAGACGAUCAGAUACCGUCGUAGUCUCAACCAUAAACUAUGCCAGCUAGGGAUCGGAGGAAGUUAUUGUUUCGACUCCUUCGGCACCUUAUGAGAAAUCAAAGCAUUUGGGUUCCGGGGGGAGUAUGGUCGCAAGGCUGAAACUUAAAGGAAUUGACGGGAGGGCACCACCAGGAGUGGAGCCUGUGGCUUAAUUUGACUCAACACGGGAAAACUUACCAGGUCCGGACAUAGUAAGGAUUGACAGAUUGAAAGCUCUUUCUUGAUUCUAUGGGUGGUGGUGCAUGGCCGUUCUUAGUUGGUGGAGUGAUUUGUCUGGUUAAUUCCGUUAACGAACGAGACCUCAGCCUGCUAAAUAGUGUCAUUUUCUUCUGAAGAUGUGCACUUCUUAGAGGGACUACUUGUGAAACAACCAAGCGGAAGCUUGAGGCAAUAACAGGUCUGUGAUGCCCUUAGAUGUUCUGGGCCGCACAUGGGCUACACUGGUGCAUUCAACAAGCAUUAUAACCUUAGCCGAAGGGUUUGGGUAAUCUUUGAAAUUGCACCGUGCUUGGGAUAGACUAUUGCAAUUUUUAGUCUUCAACGAGGAAUUCCUAGUAAACGCAAGUCAUCAGCUUGCAUUGAUUACGUCCCUGCCCUUUGUACACACCGCCCGUCGCUCCUACCGAUUGGAUGAUUCGGUAAGCUUUUGGGAUUGAUUAUGUAUCUGUCAUUGACGGUACAUUUUAACAACUUAAUCAAACCUAAUCAUCUAGAGGAAGGAGAAGUCGUAACAAGGUAGCCG